rnacentral:rRNA from 1 species
AUUGAACGCUGGCGGCACGCCUUACACAUGCAAGUCGAACGGCAGCACGGGAGCAAUCCUGGUGGCGAGUGGCGAACGGGUGAGUAAUAUAUCGGAACGUGCCCAGUAGUGGGGGAUAACUGCUCGAAAGAGCAGCUAAUACCGCAUACGACCUGAGGGUGAACGGGGGGGGAUCGCAAGACCUCUCGCACUUGGAGCGGCCGAUAUCAGAUUAGCUAGGUGGUGGGGUAAAGGACUACCAAGGCAACGAUCUGUAGUUGGUCUGAGAGGACGACCAGCCACACUGGGACUGAGACACGGCCCAGACUCCUACGGGAGGCAGCAGUGGGGAAUUUUGGACAGUGGGCGCAAGCCUGCUCCAGCAAUGCCGCGUGCAGGAAGAAGGCCUUCGGGUUGUAAACUGCUUUUGUCAGGGAAGAAAUCCUCUAGGUUAAUACCCUUGGGGGGAUGACGGUACCUGAAGAAUAAGCACCGGCUAACUACGUGCCAGCCGCCGCGGUAAUAC